AGAUGCGCGGGCAAUCUGGCUGCAGUAUUUGUCACUCCAUUGAUGGCCAGGGUCGAUUCAGCUGGUCGGCCGGCUAGGUGCACGUCCACUCCCUCACCACUCCAUGUGUAUCCCUUCCUGAAGCUGCACCCUUGGUCAAAGAGGACGACCACCCCCAAUAGAGGACCAUUUCCUCGAUUGAGGGUAUAUGAGUAGCUGCGCUCCCCUGGUAGAACCUCCAAACAAGCUCUCAAGAUCAAAAUAUAAUAAGCAAACACUGAUAGACAUGAAGAGAGAAAUAAGAUAAUACUAAAGGUAGAAACAGUCAAUUCUAU
rnacentral:snRNA from 1 species